UACGGCAGCGGACGUCGCUUUAUGCGGCGGAUGAGGAAAGUCCGAGCAUCACAGAGCAGGGUAGCUGAUAACGUCAGCCGAGGGCGACCUUAGGGAAAGUGCAACAGAAAAAGUACCGCCGCUUUUGCGGUAAGGAUGGAAAGGCGAGGUAAGAGCUCACCGGAGCACAGGAGACUGUGCUGCCAUGUAAACCCUACCCGAUGCAACACCGUUUGGUUCGGUAUAUCAAAAGAAUUGCUGAUUUUUGUCGGUGAUUUUGCAACGCCUGCUCGGCGGAUAUGCUGUUAUAGGUGGCUUGAUCUCUGCGGCGACGCAGAGGGUAGAUAGAUUGUCGUACAAGACAGAACUCGGCUUAUCGGCUUAGUC
rnacentral:RNase_P_RNA from 1 species